rnacentral:rRNA from 1 species
UACAGAGGUCUCAAGCGUUGUUCGGAUUCAUUGGGCGUAAAGGGUGCGUAGGCGGCGCGGUAAGUCGGGUGUGAAAUCUCGGAGCUUAACUCCGAAACUGCAUUCGAUACUGCCGUGCUUGAGGACUGGAGAGGAGAUUGGAAUUUACGGUGUAGCAGUGAAAUGCGUAGAUAUCGUAAGGAAGACCAGUGGCGAAGGCGAAUCUCUGGACAGCUCCUGACGCUGAGGCGCGAAGGCUAGGGGAGCAAACGGG